rnacentral:rRNA from 1 species
CGCCAGACUCCUACGGGAGGCAGCAGUGAGGAAUAUUGGUCAAUGGCCGGAAGGCUGAACCAGCCAAGUCGCGUGAGGGAAUAAGGCCCUAUGGGUCGUAAACCUCUUUUGUCAGGGAGCAAAGGCGUCCACGUGUGGACGAGAGGAGAGUACCUGAAGAAAAAGCAUCGGCUAACUACGUGCCAGCAGCCGCGGUAAUACGUAGGGGGCAAGCGUUAUCCGGAUUUACUGGGUGUAAAGGGAGCGUAGACGGCUGUGCAAGUCUGAAGUGAAAGCCCAGGGCUCAACCCUGGGACUGCUUUGGAAACUGUGGAGCUAGAGUGCUGGAGAGGUAAGUGGAAUUCCUAGUGUAGCGGUGAAAUGCGUAGAUAUUAGGAGGAACACCAGUGGCGAAGGCGGCUUACUGGACAGUAACUGACGUUGAGGCUCGAAAGCGUGGGGAGCAAACAGGAUUAGAUACCCGUGUA